rnacentral:misc_RNA from 1 species
GCAAACUUGGUCAUUUAGAGGAAGUAAAAGUCGUAACAAGGUUUCCGUAGGUGAACCUGCGGAAGGAUCAUUAUCGAGUAUUGGAAUUUCGGUUCCUACUCCCACCCUUUGUUUACCAAAAUUCUGUUGCUUAGGCGGACCCCUUUGGGUUCCCAACAUUGGCUUAGGCUGAUGAGUGUCCGCCGAAGAAAAUUUUAAAUCUUCUAAUUUGAAGUCUGAGAAGUCUUGAAUGAAAUAAAACUUUCAACAACGGAUCUCUUGGUUCUGGCAUCGAUGAAGAACGCAGC